GCCCUCGUAGCAUAGUAGCUAUUGCGCCACCUUGGUAAGGUGGAGGUCGCGAGUGCAGAUCUCGCCGAGGGCU
rnacentral:tRNA from 1 species